rnacentral:rRNA from 1 species
AUUGAACGCUGGCGGCAGGCCUAACACAUGCAAGUCGAGCGAGCGGCGGACGGGUGAGUAAUGCUUAGGUAUCUGCCUAUUCGUGGGGGACAACAUUUCGAAAGGGAUGCUAUUACUGCUUACUAAUAGAUUAGCCUAAGCCGGAUUAGCUAGUGGGUGGGGUAACGGCACACCAAGGCGACGAGCCCUAGCUGGUCUGAGAGGAUGACCAUCCACACUGGAACUGAGACACGGUCCAGACUCCUACGGGAGGCAGCAGUGGGGAAUAUUGCACAAUGGGCGCAAGCCUGAUGCAGCCAUGCCGCGUGUGUGAAGAAGGCCUUCGGGUUGUAAAGCACUUUCAGCGGGGAGGCGUUACCCGCAGAAGAAGCACCGGCUAACUCCGUGCCAGCAGCCGCGGUAAUUC